rnacentral:snoRNA from 12 species
GUGUUAAUGGUGAGACUGUUGAAAGUGUCUUACCGUUGUGAAUAUUGAGGCAUAUCGAAUCGGCGAGUCAUCGUUUCGGUCGUCCUUUGUUUGGUUGGCGAUACGAUUGUUACUCUUCUACAU